rnacentral:lncRNA from 1 species
ACAUGAUAUUAACUAACGUUUUAAAGCACUUGCUACUACUAGGUCAUGCUCUCUGCUAAAUGGCUUAAGUGCAAGAUUUCACUUAAUUUUCAAAGCAUAAUAUGUCCAAGCAACUGUUUUUAUUCCCAUUGUAUAGACAAGGGAAUUAAGCCUUGAGGCAAUAAAGAACUUUGCAAGAUCACACAGCUAUCUAAGAAAUGGUAGAGUCAGAAUUUGAAUCUGUUUUUUUGUCUAUCUCCAGAGCCUGAGAUCUUAACUACUUGUUUAUUCACCAAUGGUAUAUUGACCUGCAUCUCUGAACUGAGAAUUUUACUAGGAGGUAGGGAAAAAUAAUUGCACAAGACACAUAUGGAACCUAUGCAUGUAGCAAUAACCCAUGCUGGCUAUUUGCAGAUUGAAAAUGUGCAACCACCCAGACAUCCUAGUUUUUGAAAACUUUAACACAGUUCUUUAGUACUACCUCAAUGUAAUGAAAAGGACACCAUGGUCAACUCAUAUUCUUCUGAGGAAUGAAAGCUAAUUUAGUAGCAGUGGCCACUUUAAAAUAAUGAGUUUUACAUACAACUAGAUUGAAUAGAUGAAUCAUACAAUAAUGGAAUCAUACAGGAUUCCAUUCAUUUUAUGUUUAUCAUGACCUUGACCUUGUUUAUCAUAGAUGGUCUUGAGUCCCCAUUCACAAUCUUGGUGUGGGAAGAGAAAGACUUAUGGAUUUGAAAGAGACUUUAGGGUAGUAUUGCCAGACAAAAUUAGGACAUUCAGUUAUGUUUGAGUUUUCAGUAAAUAAUAAAUACAUUUCUAGUAUAUUUCAAAUAUUGCAUAAUUUUACUAAAAAUAGUUUAGUUUUUUUAGAUGAAGUUUAAAUUUAUCUGGAUGCCUUGUAUUUUUAUUUGCUAAAUCUGGAAGUCGUGCUUCAGGGUCCUUGAGCUUGGCUUCACCAACCUUGCUUUGCAGAACUGGGAUAGAUGCUGCCCUCUGGGUGCACAAUUAUUAUUCCUCCAUUGAAUAAAUGUUUACUGAGGGCCUUCUGUGUAUUUGACACGAUUAGAGAUGGAUGUGUAUAUUGAUGAUUAUAAUGCAAGGUGGAAAAUAUUAUAAAAGUUAAGAAGUGAGUCAAAGACUAAAAAUGACUACAAAAUGGCCAGUAUUUAUAAAAGUCUUUUCUCUAUGCAAAUUCUAUGUUGAACACUUAGAUGCAUUCUCUUGCCAGAUUUUCAUACCAACUCUCUGAAGUAGGUACAUUUCACACAUGAAGGAACUGAGCUAUAAGAUCUGGAGGUGUUAGGAAACUUAGACCAUUGUACAUGGAUAAUAGGUGGCAAAGCUAGGAUCAAGGCCUUAGUGGGCUUAGUGCCAGAUAAAGCCAGAGCUCAUACACUUCCACUAAAAUGGCACUGGGUAAAUACAGUUGGCCAAGAGAAGCUGCUUGUGAAAGUGCCUUGCAUUACACUUUGUAGUGCCUCUAGGGAAAAGCAGAUGAACAAAAUGGAUGUUAGCAGUGAGAAGAGCCUUCUUGAGAAAAUGUCAUGUCUGAAGAAUAGGGCACAUAUGAAGAAAGGCAAGAAUUGAGGACAGACAGUGGAUAAGAAGCCAGACAAUGUUAGGCUUGGCAUUCACCUGUUUAAUCAAUAUUUCUGGAUUUAUCUAUCUUGACCGAAAACUGACAAUUCCUAUUUACAGAGAACCACAAGUUAAGAUCACCUUGACUUUAAUGAUGAAGUUACAGUGCAAAU